AUUGAACGCUAGCGGGAUGCCUUACACAUGCAGUCGAACGGCAGCGCGGACUUCGGUCUGGCGGCGAGUGGCGAACGGGUGAGUAAUGUAUCGGAGCGUGCCCAGUAGCGGGGGAUAACUACUCGAAAGAGUAGCUAAUACCGCAUACGCCCUACGGGGGAAAGGGGGGGAUCGCAAGACCUCUCACUAUUGGAGCGGCCGAUAACGGAUUAGCUAGUUGGUGAGGUAAAGGCUCACCAAGGCGACGAUCCGUAGCUGGUUUGAGAGGACGACCAGCCACACUGGGACUGAGACACGGCCCAGACUCCUACGGGAGGCAGCAGUGGGGAAUUUUGGACAAUGGGGGAAACCCUGAUCCAGCCAUUCCGCGUGUGCGAUGAAGGCCUUCGGGUUGUAAAGCACUUUUGGCAGGAAAGAAAUCGCAUCAAUUAAUACUUGGUGUGGAUGACGGUACCUGCAGAAUAAGCACCGGCUAACUACGUGCCAGCAGCCGCCGCCG
rnacentral:rRNA from 1 species